UACGGAGGAUCCGAGCGUUAUCCGGAAUUAUUGGGUUUAAAGGGUGCGUAGGCGGCCAGAUAAGUCAGGGGUGAAAGUCGGCAGCUCAACUGUCGCAGUGCCUUUGAUACUGUUUGGCUUGAAUUCGGUUGAAGAUGGCGGAAUGAGACAAGUAGCGGUGAAAUGCAUAGAUAUGUCUCAGAACACCGAUUGCGAAGGCAGCUAUCUAAGCCGUUAUUGACGCUGAUGCACGAAAGCGUGGGGAGCAAACAGG
rnacentral:rRNA from 1 species